rnacentral:rRNA from 1 species
UGUAUAUCAAAAAGCGGAGGAAAAGAAACCAACCGGGAUUGCCUUAGUAACGGCGAGUGAAGCGGCAAAAGCUCAAAUUUGAAAUCUGGUACCUUCGGUGCCCGAGUUGUAAUUUGGAGAGGGCAACUUUGGGGCCGUUCCUUGUCUAUGUUCCUUGGAACAGGACGUCAUAGAGGGUGAGAAUCCCGUGUGGCGAGGAGUGCGGUUCUUUGUAAAGUGCCUUCGAAGAGUCGAGUUGUUUGGGAAUGCAGCUCUAAGUGGGUGGUAAAUUCCAUCUAAAGCUAAAUAUUGGCGAGAGACCGAUAGCGAACAAGUACAGUGAUGGAAAGAUGAAAAGAACUUUGAAAAGAGAGUGAAAAAGUACGUGAAAUUGUUGAAAGGGAAGGGCAUUUGAUCAGACAUGGUGUUUUGUGCCCUCUGCUCCUUGUGGGUAGGGGAAUCUCGCAUUUCACUGGGCCAGCAUCAGUUUUGGUGGCAGGAUAAAUCCAUAGGAAUGUAGCUUGCCUCGGUAAGUAUUAUAGCCUGUGGGAAUACUGCCAGCUGGGACUGAGGACUGCGACGUAAGUCAAGGAUG